GGUUAAGCGACUAAGCGUACACGGUGGAUGCCCUGGCAGUCAGAGGCGAUGAAGGACGUGCUAAUCUGCGAAAAGCGUCGGUAAGGUGAUAUGAACCGUUAUAGCCGGCGAUGUCCGAAUGGGGAAACCCAGUGCAAUUCGUUGCACUAUCGUUAACUGAAUACAUAGGUUAACGAGGCGAACCGGGGGAACUGAAACAUCUAAGUACCCCGAGGAAAAGAAAUCAACCGAGAUUCCCCCAGUAGCGGCGAGCGAACGGGGAGCAGCCCAGAGUCUGAAUCAGCUUGUGUGUUAGUGGAACGGUCUGGAAAGUCCGACGGUACAGGGUGAUAGUCCCGUACACCAAAAUGCACAGGUUGUGAACUCGAAGAGUAGGGCGGGACACGUGGUAUCCUGUCUGAAUAUGGGGGGACCAUCCUCCAAGGCUAAAUACUCCUGACUGACCGAUAGUGAACCAGUACCGUGAGGGAAAGGCGAAAAGAACCCCGGCGAGGGGAGUGAAAAAGAACCUGAAACCGUGUACGUACAAGCAGUGGGAGCACCUUCGGGUGUGACUGCGUACCUUUUGUAUAAUGGGUCAGCGACUUAUAUUCUGUAGCAAGGUUAACCGUAUAGGGGAGCCGCAGGGAAACCGAGUCUUAACUGGGCGUUAAGUUGCAGGGUAUAGACCCGAAACCCGGUGAUCUAGCCAUGGGCAGGUUGAAGGUUGGGUAACACUAACUGGAGGACCGAACCGACUAAUGUUGAAAAAUUAGCGGAUGACUUGUGGCUGGGGGUGAAAGGCCAAUCAAACCGGGAGAUAGCUGGUUCUCCCCGAAAGCUAUUUAGGUAGCGCCUCGUGAAUUCAUCUUCGGGGGUAGAGCACUGUUUCGGCUAGGGGGUCAUCCCGACUUACCAACCCGAUGCAAACUACGAAUACCGAAGAAUGUUAUCACGGGAGACACACGGCGGGUGCUAACGUCCGUCGUGAAGAGGGAAACAACCCAGACCGCCAGCUAAGGUCCCAAAGUCAUGGUUAAGUGGGAAACGAUGUGGGAAGGCACAGACAGCCAGGAUGUUGGCUUAGAAGCAGCCAUCAUUUAAAGAAAGCGUAAUAGCUCACUGGUCGAGUCGGCCUGCGCGGAAGAUGUAACGGGGCUAAACCAUGCACCGAAGCUGCGGCAGCGACACUAUGUGUUGUUGGGUAGGGGAGCGUUCUGUAAGCCUGCGAAGGUGUGCUGUGAGGCAUGCUGGAGGUAUCAGAAGUGCGAAUGCUGACAUAAGUAACGAUAAAGCGGGUGAAAAGCCCGCUCGCCGGAAGACCAAGGGUUCCUGUCCAACGUUAAUCGGGGCAGGGUGAGUCGACCCCUAAGGCGAGGCCGAAAGGCGUAGUCGAUGGGAAACAGGUUAAUAUUCCUGUACUUGGUGUUACUGCGAAGGGGGGACGGAGAAGGCUAUGUUAGCCGGGCGACGGUUGUCCCGGUUUAAGCAUGUAGGCUGGUUAUCCAGGCAAAUCCGGAUAAUCAAGGCUGAGGUGUGAUGACGAGGUACUACGGUGCUGAAGUAACAAAUGCCCUGCUUCCAGGAAAAGCCUCUAAGCAUCAGGUAACAUCAAAUCGUACCCCAAACCGACACAGGUGGUCAGGUAGAGAAUACCAAGGCGCUUGAGAGAACUCGGGUGAAGGAACUAGGCAAAAUGGUGCCGUAACUUCGGGAGAAGGCACGCUGGUGUGUAGGUGAAGUCCCUGCGGAUGGAGCUGAGACCAGUCGAAGAUACCAGCUGGCUGCAACUGUUUAUUAAAAACACAGCACUGUGCAAACACGAAAGUGGACGUAUACGGUGUGACGCCUGCCCGGUGCCGGAAGGUUAAUUGAUGGGGUUAUCCGUAAGGAGAAGCUCUUGAUCGAAGCCCCGGUAAACGGCGGCCGUAACUAUAACGGUCCUAAGGUAGCGAAAUUCCUUGUCGGGUAAGUUCCGACCUGCACGAAUGGCGUAAUGAUGGCCAGGCUGUCUCCACCCGAGACUCAGUGAAAUUGAACUCGCUGUGAAGAUGCAGUGUACCCGCGGCAAGACGGAAAGACCCCGUGAACCUUUACUAUAGCUUGACACUGAACAUUGAGCCUUGAUGUGUAGGAUAGGUGGGAGGCUUUGAAGCGUGGACGCCAGUCUGCGUGGAGCCAACCUUGAAAUACCACCCUUUAAUGUUUGAUGUUCUAACGUUGGCCCCUGACCGGGGUUGCGGACAGUGUCUGGUGGGUAGUUUGACUGGGGCGGUCUCCUCCCAAAGCGUAACGGAGGAGCACGAAGGUUAGCUAAUCCUGGUCGGACAUCAGGAGGUUAGUGCAAUGGCAUAAGCUAGCUUGACUGCGAGCGUGACGGCGCGAGCAGGUGCGAAAGCAGGUCAUAGUGAUCCGGUGGUUCUGAAUGGAAGGGCCAUCGCUCAACGGAUAAAAGGUACUCCGGGGAUAACAGGCUGAUACCGCCCAAGAGUUCAUAUCGACGGCGGUGUUUGGCACCUCGAUGUCGGCUCAUCACAUCCUGGGGCUGAAGUAGGUCCCAAGGGUAUGGCUGUUCGCCAUUUAAAGUGGUACGCGAGCUGGGUUUAGAACGUCGUGAGACAGUUCGGUCCCUAUCUGCCGUGGGCGCUGGAGAAUUGAGGGGGGCUGCUCCUAGUACGAGAGGACCGGAGUGGACGCAUCACUGGUGUUCGGGUUGUCAUGCCAAUGGCACUGCCCGGUAGCUAAAUGCGGAAGAGAUAAGUGCUGAAAGCAUCUAAGCACGAAACUUGCCCCGAGAUGAGUUCUCCCUGAGACUUUAAGUCUCCUGAAGGAACGUUAAAGACGAUGACGUUGAUAGGCCGGGUGUGUAAGCGCAGCGAUGCGUUGAGCUAACCGGUACUAAUGAACCGUGAGGCUUAACCUU
rnacentral:rRNA from 1 species